GAUGAACGCUAGCGAUAGGCCUAACACAUGCAAGUCGAGGGGCAUCACGGAGUAGCAAUACUUUGGUGGCGACCGGCGCACGGGUGAGUAACGCGUAUGCAAUCUACCUACAACAGGGGGAUAACCCGGAGAAAUCCGGACUAAUACCGCAUAACACAGGGGUCCCGCAUGGGAAUAUUUGUUAAAGAUUUAUCGGUUGUAGAUGAGCAUGCGUUCCAUUAGGUAGUUGGUGAGGUAACGGCCCACCAAGCCUGCGAUGGAUAGUGGAACUGGGAGGCUUGUACACCACACUGGAACAGAGACACGGACCGGAGUCCUACGGGAGGCAGCAGUGAUGAAUAUUGGUCAAUGGGCGAGAGCCUGAACCAGCCAAAUCGCGUGAAGGAAGACUGCCUUAUGGGUUGUAAACUUCUUUUGGACAGGAAUGAAAAGAGGGACGUGUCCUUCAUUGCAUGUACUGUACGAAUAAGCAUCGGCUAACUCCGUGCCAGCCGCCGCCGUAA
rnacentral:rRNA from 1 species